rnacentral:rRNA from 1 species
AUACGGGGGGAGCAAGCGUUAUUCGGAAUCACUGGGCGUAAAGGACGCGUAGGCGGGUUUGUAAGUCAGGUGUGAAAUCCUACAGCUCAACUGUAGAACUGCACUUGAAACUACAGACCUAGAGUAUGGAAGGGGCAGAUGGAAUUAGUGGUGUAGGGGUAAAAUCCGUAGAUAUCACUAGGAAUACCGAAAGCGAAGGCGAUCUGCUGGGACAUUACUGACGCUGAGGCGUGAAAGCGUGGGGAGCAAACAGGAUUAGAAACCCCGGUAGUCC